AUUCAAAACAAGCUUCCUCGCGUUCCAACAUACUCUCUCUCUUGGGGAUCUUGGGUCGUCGACUCCGCCGCGCCAGAAAUCGUCUCUGGCGGCGGCGGAGGCGGAGGCGGAGGCUCAAACACUCCAAUUCAUACCUCAUCUUGUCCCUCUCUUUCUUCUCUAUCUAAACCCUAACCUAAUUUUCCCCAAUUUCCCCUUAAUAAACUAAAUCGAAGCUCACAGUGGAUGAACCCUAAGAAUCCUUGAACUCUAAUUAGACGUUAAACUCACUCGAACGUGACUAGCAAACGUAUGAUCGUGGAGAUUCUACGCUAGUGCAAUUGUUUGGUAGAAGAAGAAAGAAAGAUAGAUGAAAGAUGGUUAACCGACCUUCGAAGUUGUGAGCUGCUUCGGUAAAUGUUACAAGUCUCAAAGGUGCAGCUCGAACAAGAAUCCCAGCGAUCUCCACUGAGCUAUAAUGGUGGAAUGGCCUGCUGCUAAGUUGUUGAUGUCAUGGUUGUCUUGGGAAUAAAGGAUCAACUGCAAUGGAUGGCAUGAUCAAGGCAAUUGGAACUCAUCAAGAUGAAGAUGGGAUGAAGAUGAAAUUUUAGGAUUAUUAGAUGGUGUUGUCUUUGGUCGAUGGUUGACCAAAAAGUCAAAUGUUGACCUAAAAGUCAAUUGUUGGCUAAAAGUCAACAUUACAAAAAUGUUCAUUGUUUUGUUAAUAUGCUUACGGACAAUGUAAAUUGAUUUGAAUGAAAUGUAAUGAAUAAUUUUGAAUGAA